UGCUGCUGCUGAAAGGUGAGGAGAGAGAAUUUGGGACUGUGAAGGAGAAGAGAUUUUUACAUCCCAGGGAUCACCACAGCAACGUUCCAUGGUGGACUGCUCCUCCAGGAGGUCAUCAAACAGCUCCUCUGAAUACAGACCCAGGACAUUCUGCAGCUGCUCCAAUGACAAAGACUCCUCAGGUAGAUUUCCAGUUCCACUACUGAAGUGUAGAAAUACUUACAGAACCAGUCCAUUGGGUGCUUGCAUUUCAUGUGUGGGAAGUGAAGUGGACCUUGGCAGUAGCGAUUUCAGCAACCUGUAAAUGUAUUUUUAAAAAUAAAAAGUUGUAACCAAAUUUUUCAAUAUGAGCCCAUUCAGCUGUGUAUUUUGUAUAACAUAAGGUUUUGUUCAUCUUUACACCAUUCCUUUACAACAUGA